GACGAACGCUGGCGGCGUGCUUAACACAUGCAAGUCGAACGGAAAGGCCCUGCUUUUGCGGGGUGCUCGAGUGGCGAACGGGCGAGUAACACGUGAGUAACCUGCCCUUGACUUUGGGAUAACUUCAGGAAACUCGGGCUAAUACCGGAUAGGAGCUCCUGCUGCAUGGUGGGGUUUGGAAAGUUUCGGCGGUUGGGGAUGGACUCGCGGCUUAUCAGCUUGUUGGUGGGGUAGUGGCUUACCAAGGCUUUGACGGGUAGCCGGCCUGAGAGGGUGACCGGCCACAUUGGGACUGAGAUGCGGCCCAGACUCCUACGGGAGGCAGCAGUGGGGAAUAUUGCACAAUGGGCGGAAGCCUGAUGCAGCAGCGCCGCGUGCGGGAUGACGGCCUUCGGGUUGUAAACCGCUUUCGCCUGUGACGAAGCGUGAGUGACGGUAAUGGGUAAAGAAGCACCGGCUAACUACGUG
rnacentral:rRNA from 1 species